rnacentral:rRNA from 1 species
AUCCUGGCUCAGGACGAACGCUGGCGGCGUGCUUAACACAUGCAAGUCGAGCGAUGAAGCUUCCUUCGGGAAGUGGAUUAGCGGCGGACGGGUGAGUAACACGUGGGUAACCUGCCUCAAAGUGGGGGAUAGCCUUCCGAAAGGRAGAUUAAUACCGCAUAAUAUAAGAGAAUCGCAUGAUUUUCUUAUCAAAGAUUUAUUGCUUUGAGAUGGACCCGCGGCGCAUUAGCUAGUUGGUAAGGUAACGGCUUACCAAGGCAACGAUGCGUAGCCGACCUGAGAGGGUGAUCGGCCACAUUGGAACUGAGACACGGUCCAGACUCCUACGGGAGGCAGCAGUGGGGAAUAUUGCGCAAUGGGGGAAACCCUGACGCAGCAACGCCGCGUGGGUGAUGAAGGUCUUCGGAUUGUAAAGCCCUGUUUUCUAGGACGAUAAUGACGGUACUAGAGGAGGAAGCCACGGCUAACUACGUGCCAGCAGCCGCGGUAAUACGUAGGUGGCGAGCGUUGUCCGGAUUUACUGGGCGUAAAGGGUGCGUAGGCGGAUGUUUAAGUGGGAUGUGAAAUCCCCGGGCUUAACCUGGGGGCUGCAUUCCAAACUGGAUAUCUAGAGUGCAGGAGAGGAAAGCGGAAUUCCUAGUGUAGCGGUGAAAUGCGUAGAGAUUAGGAAGAACACCAGUGGCGAAGGCGGCUUUCUGGACUGUAACUGACGCUGAGGCACGAAAGCGUGGGUAGCAAACAGGAUUAGAUACCCUGGUAGUCCACGCCGUAAACGAUGGAUACUAGGUGUAGGGGGUAUCAACUCCCCCUGUGCCGCAGUUAACACAAUAAGUAUCCCGCCUGGGGAGUACGGUCGCAAGAUUAAAACUCAAAGGAAUUGACGGGGGCCCGCACAAGCAGCGGAGCAUGUGGUUUAAUUCGAAGCAACGCGAAGAACCUUACCUGGACUUGACAUCCCUUGCAUAGCCUAGAGAUAGGUGAAGCCCUUCGGGGCAAGGAGACAGGUGGUGCAUGGUUGUCGUCAGCUCGUGUCGUGAGAUGUUAGGUUAAGUCCUGCAACGAGCGCAACCCUUGUUAUUAGUUGCUACCAUUAAGUUGAGCACUCUAAUGAGACUGCCUGGGUAACCAGGAGGAAGGUGGGGAUGACGUCAAAUCAUCAUGCCCCUUAUGUCCAGGGCUACACACGUGCUACAAUGGUAGGUACAAUAAGACGCAAGACCGUGAGGUGGAGCAAAACUUAUAAAACCUAUCUCAGUUCGGAUUGUAGGCUGCAACUCGCCUACAUGAAGCUGGAGUUGCUAGUAAUCGCGAAUCAGAAUGUCGCGGUGAAUACGUUCCCGGGCCUUGUACACACCGCCCGUCACACCAUGAGAGCUGGUAACACCCGAAGUCCGUGAGGUAACCGUAAGGAGCCAGCGGCCGAAGGUGGGAUUAGUGAUUGGGGUGAAGUCG